rnacentral:rRNA from 2 species
GGUCAAGUGAAUAAGGGCAUACGGUGGAUGCCUUGGCAGAGACAGGCGAUGAAGGACGUGGAUACCUGCGAAAAGCCUCGGGGAGCUGGUAAACAAGCUUUGAUCCGGGGAUGUCCGAAUGGGGCAACCCAAUCCGAGUGAUCGGAUUAUUGCUGACUGAAUACAUAGGUCAGUAAAGCGAACGCGGUGAACUGAAACAUCUCAGUAGCUGCAGGAAAAGAAAUCAACCGAGAUUCCCGUAGUAGCGGCGAGCGAA